rnacentral:rRNA from 1 species
AUUGAACGCUGGCGGCAUGCCUUACACAUGCAAGUCGAACGGUAACGCGGGGCAACCUGGCGACGAGUGGCGAACGGGUGAGUAAUGUAUCGGAACGUGCCCAGUUGUGGGGGAUAACUGCUCGAAAGAGCAGCUAAUACCGCAUACGACCGGAGGGUGAAAGCGGGGGAUCGCAAGACCCCGCGCAAUUGGAGCGGCCGAUAUCAGAUUAGGUAGUUGGCUAGGUAAAGGCUCACCAAGCCGACGAUCUGUAGCUGGUCUGAGAGGACGACCAGCCACACUGGGACUGAGACACGGCCCAGACUCCUACGGGAGGCAGCAGUGGGGAAUUUUGGACAAUGGACGCAAGUCUGAUCCAGCCAUGCCGCGUGCGGGAAGAAGGCCUUCGGGUUGUAAACCGCUUUUGUCAGGGAAGAAACGCUCUGGGUUAAUACCCCGGGGUAAUGACGGUACCUGAAGAAUAAGCACCGGCUAACUACGUGCCAGCCGCCGCAGUAAGAC